GUGCUCUCUUCGCAGCACAUAUACUAAAAUGGGAACAAUACAGAGAAGAUUAGCAUGGCCCCUGCACAAGGAUGACAAGUGAAUUAAUGAAGUGUUCCAUAUUUAA